AGUUCUCGUUUUGAAAUGUCAAAUUAAGUCUUACAUCGAGCAAGACCCCCACCCCUUGUUUUUAUUCCCGUCUCCUGAGGGGGGGCACUCUAAGGAGACUGCCGCUGUAAAACGGAAGGAAGAGUGGGGACGACGCCAAUUCAUCUUGCCCCUUACGCCCAGGGCUCCCCCCGUUUUCCAAUGCAGGGUCCAAAGGGUUGCGACCCCGAGAGGGGGAGCCAAUCCCUCAAACCCUGUCGUAGUCCGGUUCGAAGUCUGCAACUCGCCCUCCGUGAAGUACGGAUUCGCUAGUAAUCGGGA
rnacentral:rRNA from 1 species